UUCGGAUGAUUCUUGACUGACUGAGCGGCGGACGGGUGAGUAACGCGUGGGUGACCUGCCCCAUACCGGGGGAUAACAGCUGGAAACGGCUGCUAAUACCGCAUAAGCGCACGGUUCCGCAUGGAACAGUGUGAAAAACUCCGGUGGUGUGAGAUGGACCCGCGUCUGAUUAGCCAGUUGGCGGGGUAACGGCCCACCAAAGCGACGAUCAGUAGCCGGCCUGAGAGGGUGAACGGCCACAUUGGGACUGAGACACGGCCCAAACUCCUACGGGAGGCAGCAGUGGGGAAUAUUGCACAAUGGGGGAAACCCUGAUGCAGCGACGCCGCGUGAGUGAAGGAGUAUUUCGGUAUGUAAAGCUCUAUCAGCAGGGAAGAAAGUGACGGUACCUGAAUAAGAAGCCCCGGCUAACUACGUGCCAGCAGCCGCGGUAAUACGUAGGGGGCAAGCGUUAUCCGGAUUUACUGGGUGUAAAGGGAGCGUAGACGGCAAGGCAAGUCUGAAGUGAAAGCCCGGUGCUUAACGCCGGGACUGCUUUGGAAACUGUUUGGCUGGAGUGCCGGAGAGGUAAGCGGAAUUCCUAGUGUAGCGGUGAAAUGCGUAGAUAUUAGGAAGAACACCAGUGGCGAAGGCGGCUUACUGGACGGUAACUGACGUUGAGG
rnacentral:rRNA from 1 species